AAGAUAUAAAGACAAAGACUCAUACGGACUUCGGUUACACCAUCAAAGCUUUGAGAAUAAAGAAGAAGCUUGGUUAGUGUGUUGGAGUCGAAUAUAACUUGAUGUCAUGUGGU
rnacentral:sRNA from 1 species